rnacentral:rRNA from 1 species
AUUGAACGCUGGCGGCAGGCCUAACACAUGCAAGUCGAGCGGGGUUUUCGGACCUAGCGGCGGACGGGUGAGUAAUGCGUAGGAAGCUACCCGAUAGAGGGGGAUACCAGUUGGAAACGACUGUUAAUACCGCAUAAUGUCUACGGACCAAAGUGUGGGACCUUCGGGCCACAUGCUAUCGGGUGCGCCUACGUGGGAUUAGCUAGUUGGUGAGGUAAUGGCUCACCAAGGCGACGAUCCCUAGCUGGUUUGAGAGGAUGAUCAGCCACACUGGAACUGAGACACGGUCCAGACUCCUACGGGAGGCAGCAGUGGGGAAUAUUGGACAAUGGGCGCAAGCCUGAUCCAGCCAUGCCGCGUGUGUGAAGAAGGCCUUCGGGUUGUAAAGCACUUUCAGUAAGGAGGAAGAGUUGAGUGUUAAUAGUACUCAGCUUUGACGUUACUUACAGAAGAAGCACCGGCUAACUCUGUGCCAGCCGCCGCCGUAACAC